UCAAAAGAAAUAAUCCCACCCAACUCUCUAACAAAUAAUAGCUUAGCUUAUUCAUACACAAAAUUCGAAUUGUUGUAAAAGAGUCAAACAUUCUCAUCUGAUUUUGAUGAAACUUGAAUUGUAUGUUUAUAACCCACAGAUCUCGGCUACUUUCGUUAUUCGCGCAUAUCGGACCAUAACUUCCUGAAUUAUCACCCCUGAUUGUACUGAAAAUCGCGUUUUUAGCUUGUGGACCAGAUAGAGGUCACAAUUUUUAUCCGAUUUAAAAAAUCGUUUGAAUAUAUCACCAUUACACACUAAGAUCUUGGUUCCUUUUGAUAAUCUUGGAUACCCGAACUUAACUUUCUGGAUUAUGGCCCUUGAUUGUUCGAAAAAUCGCAUUUUUAGCUUGCAGAUUGUCUAGAGGUCACAAUUUUUUCCAAUUUUAAAAACCGUUCUGCCAUAAUGAAUUUGUAUUUCGGGAAAAUCGAAAUGAAACUGCCCGACAAAAUGGCCCCUCUCUGUACGCAAAUUGUGUAGAAGUGUGUUAUACGAAGGUUGUGGACCGUCUAGAGGUCACAAUUUUUAUCCGAUUUUGAUGAAACUUAAAACAUAUCUUUAUAUCCCAAAGAUCUCUGUCCCUUUGGAUAUUUGCACAUUUCAGGCCAUAACUUUCUGGAUUACUGCCCCUGAUUGUACAAAAAAUCCCUUUUGUUUUUAGCUUGUUCUCUAUCCAUCUCUUGCAAAAUGUGGGCGUAUCCUGCCUGGCAGCCGCUGGUUGUAUUUCUCGAUGUCCAAGUUCGUGAUGAGUUCAAUUUUACAAGAGAUAUCUUUUUUAUUCGCUGGGAUAUUUAGUUGUACAGUUGAUUUUAUUUAACCGGGGGUAAUUUCAAACACACAGGUAAGUUUAUAAUAACCAAAUUUAAGUAGUUGGUUCUCAUAAUCGAAGAAAUCCGUUUAUAAUUUACGACGGUUCAGACAGUAAGUCACGUUAUGAAUGGCUACUUUAGUCCAGCGCCGACAAAGGAAUGUUUAUGUCGACGAAUAAAGAAGCCGAACAAAUAUUUUUCUUUUUGCUCCCCACACACGUCGAAGAUGGUCCCGCAGAUGAUGAAUGUUUUAGGUCGAACAAUACACAGCAGACCCGCAGACGAAUGUAUGUGAUCGCUGAUUGGUGAUGCGUGGCAAAAAUGUUAAAAUGUUCUGUGGAUGUUCGGCUUCAAUACAGACGACGAACAGAGUCCAAACAUUGGACCAUUCAAGGGAACAAACUGGAAUAGUUCGUGAGGACCAACUCUUUUCAGAAAUUCAAUAUCAUGGCACUGGUAUUUUUAGCUUCUAAAGAUGACCGAAAUAUCGGUCAAAAUUAGCUGUUUAUUAAGCAUUGCAUAAAGUUUCAAACCCAAACUUAAAAGUGAAUACAGGAACCUUUUGCAAGAAAUGUACAUAUCUCAGAUAAAUGCUAAUUGAUGAUUCGUUCAACAUGAAAGGUGCAUCCGUGAAACUAACAUUGCAAUGGAUUCAUAGAUAACACAAGUCAGAAUCACUAACUUAAAAACAAAAUUUGUGGUGGAGACACCAAUUAGCGACUUUACUUUUUUUAACCCAGGUAUGUUACACAAAACUACAUGAACAUGCAGUAUACUGCUAGGCGCAAGUUUGAGAUAUAAGUAUGACACAAUUUCAAAAACAUCGAAAAUAUUGCACCGCUUGAAGGCCACAGGUAAUUAAAAUUUUAAUCAACAUGAAAGGUGCGAGUGAGAAACCAGCCUGAUGACACCAGAAAUCAUUAUCACCAACUUCAGAAUAAACUUUAUAGUAGUCGGUGUACUAAAGAGAGAAUGGCCCGUACUUUGAAAUAUAAUUAACAUGAAAGGUGCGACAUUGGAACGAAGUAUAAAAUGAAGGGAAUGAUCAUAGGAUCCACAAACCACUGAGUCACGAACGUGUAGUUUGGUGGUAGAUCAACAGCAGCCGGUGUGGCCAAUACCCAUUAAAAAUCUGUGGCAUGCAGUAACAAAUGGCCGGAAUGCUACGUGUCCUCUUGAUCAUUAGCAGUGAUACAUUGAUAACCGCCCACUGCCAUCAUACUAAUAGUCAUUUAAAACAGAGAUAUAUGUAAUGUUAUCGUCGACAUCAAUCAACUGAAACCUAACUUUCCUCUUCAUCUGAGAAGAGACAACUGUCUUCAUCAGAGAAAGCAAUGUCGACGUUAUGAUCAGAGGUAUCCUGAUCAGAUUCCUAAAUAUCCUCUUCAAACCAUUCAGUUCAGGAUCAUUAAACCAUGUGAUAUC